rnacentral:rRNA from 1 species
UACGGGGGGAGCAAGCGUUGUUCGGAUUUACUGGGCGUAAAGGGCGCGUAGGCGGCUUUUCAAGUCGGGCGUGAAAUCUCCAGGCUUAACCUGGAAGGGUCGUUCGAUACUGUUAAGCUAGAGUGUGGAAGAGGCUACUGGAAUUCCGUGUGUAGCGGUGAAAUGUGUAGAGAUCGGGAGGAACACCGGUGGCGAAGGCGGGUCUCUGGGCAUCUCCUGACGCUGAGGCGCGAAAGCGUGGGGAGCAAACGGG